rnacentral:rRNA from 1 species
AUGGGCGCCCACAAACACCCAGAAAAAAAAGUCAAACAGGUAAAAAAAAUACACACAUCCAUCCAGCUAUCUAUUCAAUCGAGCACGCAUGUGUAUGCAUGUACUACUGUACAGGAGGCUGCAGGCGCCGUGCUACCACCAGCCGGGCGCCUUCCUGCCGCCGCCGGCGGCGGCCAUGGCGGCGGCGCGCUCGAACCGCGUGGCCGCGCAGGGGAUGGUGAUCCCGCCGGGGUGCUCGAAGCCGAACUCCUCCUCGGCCUCGCGCAGCAGCUCCCCGAAGAGCGGGUGGUUGAAGUACACCACCGGCACCACGUACCUCAUCGACUCCCCGCCGGGCUCGUCGCCGCCCACGUACACCGCCACCUGCCCCUUGGGCGUGGUCGCCUCGCCGGCGUCCUCCAGCAGCCGCUCGCCACGCCGCGGCAGGAGCCUCAUCCGCCGCGCCAGCGACCGACCCCACCCCAGCAUCCGCCGGGGCUCGUCCCGCUCCCGCGGCAGCACCACCAGCUGCUGCUGCUGCUUGGCGCUCCCGACGGCCGCGUGGGACGGCUUCGCGCCAGCUCCCAGCUGGCACCGCUGCAGGCGGGCGUAGCCGCGUCGCCGGCGGUUGCAGAGCGCCCGGCGCCAGAGGCCCAGCAGCUUCCGGCCGAGCCGGAAUCCUCUCUGCCGCCUUGCCAUCAUGCAGCAGCUGGCAGGUCGAAGGUCUCCGCUUUCCUGUGCUGUGUUCCGCGUGUGUGGAAGGAAGGAGUUGAAGCUGGGCGGUCUAAUGGCAGGAGAAGCGAGCUUGACAAUGGCUUGUUUUUAUAUAGCGAGGACGCGAGAAACCGAGACGGGGAGGGAAGACUCCGGGCAAGGGUGUCACUGUGCGUGUGGGCGCGCGCCCGUGUGGGACGAGCCAGUGAUUUGUGCGUCAUUUUAGCCUUGUUUUUGUCAUGGCGUCGCACAAAGGCUUUGCAGUAG